rnacentral:lncRNA from 10 species
CUUUAUACUAAAAGUCGGUCCAAACAUGGUAACUCAGUGUUCAUUUGAGACGCUUUGACUUUUGGCCUUUAAAAACUGUUCCCCACUCGAGUCCCCAGAUAGAACUACAUUUAGCAACUGGUCUCCUCCUGACUUCCUGGUACUAAAAACCACAACCACAAGGGCUGUUUCGUCGGUUUGUUGUAAAACAACAUUUGCUCCAGUCAUCUCACUGGAAAAUAGACUUUCUCUACUGGGCAGCCGCUGAGGUGAGGGUGCUCAGGAUGUUUAAAAACAAAACCACGCGUCUAUGCGGUAGCGGCACCGCCGGUGUUAAGCGCCGGGUUUCUUCCAGGAUGGAGACCGACGCGGGCUGGUCCGGGAGGCAGCCCCCGGCGCCCCGGCAGAAGGAGAAAAGGAGAAGGGUAAAAAUAGCCGGCGGCCACGGCCCACGUGCAGCCGCGGGAGGACCGAGCGCGGGUGCGCGGAGAGGGGUCCGUACCUCCAAACAUGUGCGGCGAGAGCCACUAAAUCUGUGUUGCUGAGUCUGCUGUUUGCAUGCAGGAAUGUGAAGGACUGCUCAAGUUGGAGAUACAAAUUGAAGCCAGCCCCAGUUCAAAACUGUUACAAAUGGAGUCUGUAGGCAUGAGGGGCUGACUAUAUAACUCAGAGUUCUCCAGUACUUUACUUUAAUAAAGAACACAAUCUUUAUUAAAGGAUAAGUAAUAAAAAUGUGUUGAUGUGCAACUUAUGGAUCUAUUAUUAAAACUCAACAGUCAUUGCAGCAAUGUUUAGAACUUAAGCAAACAAAAGUUUUGUGAGGGGGCAAUUUUAUCAAUGACAUUGUUUAGAAAUGUUGGUAGAUGGUGAUCAUAAAAAGCAGAUCAAUGUUUUAUUUCACUUGGGUUUUUAAAAAUUAUUUUUAAAAAAUU